UCUUAUCUUACCUACUAAUAAAGCAGCGAUUGCUUCUGGUCGUCCGUCGCGUUAUUUUACAUAAACACCCCUGCCUUUUUCGUUAAUUAACCCGCAGUACAUGGCUAAAUCAGAACGAACCUAAUACCACAUCGGUUAAUUACACCUAAUCUCACCAGUUCAUAUAGGUACACAUCGAUUAUUCAACAAGCGAUCACAAAAAUCAGCAAACAGAGGUGAGGAUAAUUAGAAGGGGAACGGAGACGGUCGAGGGCAGUCGAAUCCGGACGGAUCCGGUCCGGUGGAGGCAGAUCCGGAGGCGGCGCAUCAAAUCCCUCGACAGGAGGAGCAGACGAGGCCGGGGACGGUCGAGGGCAGCCGGAUCCGGUCCGAUGGAGGCGGAUCCCGCGGUGACACGUCAAAUCCGGCCACGGGGAGGAGCGGCGACGGCAAAUCCGGACGGAUCCGGCGGGAGGCACGUCAAAUCCGGCGACGGGAGGAAUAGACGAGGUCGGGGACGAUCAAGGGCAGCCGGAUCCGUUUGCAGUGGCGAGGCUCCUUGCGUGCUCCCUGCAUGACCAAGGAAAAAAAAGGCUAAGAAGGUGAGGAGGAGACAUGAAGAAGGAGAAGGAGAGGCGUUGGAGCCGGUGUGGGUCGCGGCGUGCGCGAGGGAUUGGGGGCGAGCGCUGAGCUGAGCCCGUGGAGGAAAGAGGAGUCGGGAGGCUCGGGGGUGACCUCGAUGCCAUCUGCAUCCAUAGCUGGAAGGGGGGAGGGAGUGAGGGAGAGACGAGGAUGAGCUGUGCUGGCCGAGAAGAUAAGGUUUGAUGGAGCGACACGCAGCGGUGCGUCGGGCCACAUGACAC
rnacentral:lncRNA from 1 species